rnacentral:ncRNA from 14 species
CCAACGGCCCUCUUUAGGGCCACAAAUGUUCAAUAAUCCAAUCAUU